rnacentral:tRNA from 1 species
CAAAUUGUUUCAUUAGGUGGAUUUAUUAUUUACAUUAAUAAAAUUGUUGUUCAAUUCAGCACGGUUUGA